GGAGGCGCUUGGGUACCGUUGCUAGGCAACUGCCUCAGGCCUGUGGUCCUCUCAGCGCUGGAGCCUUCCUCUUGGGCUCCUCCGUUCUUCCCUAACAAUGGCUGAGGACACCAGCACUUCCUCCCUUCUAGCUUGCUCCCUCUGAGUCACUGCCAUUCCCAGUCACAUGGUGUAAGCAGCUUGGCUUUGCCCCAAGACCCUGGUGGGGGCAGAUAAGGAGCCUCCCAUCAUGCUUGAGUCCAGCCUCACUCUCUGGAAAAGUCUGGCCUCCUGCGGCAGCCAAGCAUGGCAGGCCUCUGCCAACAGAGGUUAAGCCAAGCAUCCUCAGACCAUGUCCCAGCUCCAGUUCAAUCUGACCUGCGUGCCGAGAUUAGCAGCCAGCUAGUGGAGUGAAAAGGGAUCUCCUCAACUUGCUUCCCUUUUGCCUUCCUCAAAGGAAGAGCUAAGAAGAGGAGGCCAGGAAACAGCUCCUACCUUAAGUGCAUCUGAUGACAAAUGACUCAAACACCACUUUGCAGAAGUAAAGGUGCUAGGCUGAGUCUUUGUAACAACUGGACCCAGAAGGGCACUGAGAAACACACAGCUGCUUUCUGUUGAAGACUAAAAGCAUCCUUCAGCUACUCUAACAUUUUCUCCCAGGCAUUUCCAAAAGUGGGGUUCCAAUGCUAAGGUCACUGGGGAAUACUAAGUAUCAAGUCCACUUCCUACUUGUUUCUCUUGAGCACACUCUAGAGUAGAACCCAGAGCUCUCCUUUAGUUCUUCCUGUGGUUCUUUCCCCCAAAGGAAGGGGGAAGAUACACAGGUUGAGGAGGCAGAGGACAGGGCACACGAAGCUUUCAGAACUGUAGAAGUCUCCUAUGUGAUCCUGGAGAAAGCUGUGCAUCUAACAUACUGUCCUUUUUCCAGAAACCAGCAAGUAUCUGUCUGCCCCUCCCCUAGCCUGGGUUCCCAGAUUUGGACACCUGCCCCAAGAGAGAUGGGGUCAUCUUCAGCAUCCAGCCUAUGAAGUUCCCAGAGGGAGGGAGCCAGUAGCUCAUUACCAUUUCAUCCUUUUGGUAAAACACCUAGAAGGGCUAGUUUGUCUUGUGAAUAAAACAUAGAGUUCUUUCUUACUUAUCUCAGGACCCCAAUUCACUUUGCCAAAAGAAAAAAACAUUAAGCUGAAAGCCGAGUCAUGCAAGAAACUGCCUUUCCUUUUGUUCCUAAGCAGAGAGCUACAGUUAAAGGUUAAAUAUCUCCACAGGUGAUAACUCUAUGUUCACCUUACCUUAUAUAAGGUGCCAAUUUACUGAGCAUGAGAUGAAUACAUAGUUGACUGUUCCCCUACCUUCUCCUUUGUCUUACAACAUGUGGAUUAGCAUACCCUCCCUCUUUCCCCUCCAGUCUAGUUUUCUGCUUUUAAUAUUGAAGCCCCCAAAUUCAUCUUUGGAGACAGGCACAGACCACAGACUGUUUCUGUGAUUUCUGUGUUCUCUUCUUCUGGGCAUGUCCUUACUCUUGGCAAAAUACACUUCUAAAUUGAUUGAGACCUGUGUUAGAUAAUUUUUGGUUUACAAGCCCUGCUUACUCACCCCUCAAGAAGAUAUCUUGUUGGGCUGGGCUCGGUGGCUCACGCCUGUAAUCCCAGCACUUUGGGAGGCCGAGGCAGGUGGAUCACGAGGUCAGGAGUUCAAGACUAGCCUGGCCAAGAUGAUGAAACUCCGUCUCUACUAAAAAUACAAAAAUUAGCCAGGCAUGGUGGUGGGCACCUAUAAUCCCAGCUACUCAGAAGGCUGAGGCAGAGAACUGCUUGAACCUGGGAGGUGGAGGUUGCAGUGAGCCAAGAUUGCACCACUGCACUGUAGCCUGGGCAACAGAGCAAGACUCUGUCUCAAAAAAAAAAAAAAAGAAGAAGAAGACAUAUUGUUGGGUUUAGUCAUCUGUGGCUCUGAGUGGUCACACUGGGUACCUUUCCAAUGGGGCUACAUAAAAGGGAUCUGAACAACUACUGUUCUCAGGAAGAAAAGUGGGAAGUUCUUUAACUUCUAAUCCCAGUAGCACUCCUUCUCCCACUCCUUCUAUCACAUACAUGGACAGACACACAGACAUAGCAUGUAUGCACAAUUAUGGAUAUAACAACUCCAUUUGCUUUCCUAAGAAGGGCAAAAAUCUUCUUCAAUUCACCAUCAGACUCUAUCCUCACCUUACAUUCUUCAAAGCCAUAAAUAAGAGGGAGUCCCAGCUAAAAACUCACGUAGAAUGGAGGAGAACGUUGUUUUUCCUUCCCACACAUGUCUCACACUCACGGCAGAAAGCAAGGAAGAAGGGAAGGGAAAAAUAACACUGGAGUAAGUGCUGUUGGAGAACCUUGUUCACAAGUUUCAAGAAGCCUGUCAGGCCCUGGAAUUAACCUGCUCCCAAAAGAGAUCGGUUGAACUAUGUCCCCAGAUAAACCCUCAGAUUCCCGAAUCUCCAUAUAUCACAUCCUCAACCGGUAGUGGUGUUUGAUCAUCUUCUCCAGAUAUACAGAAGAAUCACAGGAGAUCUGGCAAGAAGCUGCAACAUUUCCUACUAUGUCUGGUUUUCUUCUUGGUGUUGAUGAUGAGGCUUAAGAGAUGAUAUAAGGAGAAGGAGAAUUUCUUUUUGGAGAUUAAUAAAAAUAAUAUUGAACCAUUGCUGCAU
rnacentral:lncRNA from 10 species